rnacentral:rRNA from 1 species
AGCGAACGCUGGCGGCGUGCUUAACACAUGCAAGUCGAGUGCGUAGCCCUUUGUAGCAAUACAGAGGGUGGGCGCACGGCGCACGGGUGAGUAACACGUGGGUAACCCUGCCCCUUCGGUGGGGAAUAACCCCGCGAAAGCGGGGCUAAUUCCGCAUAACAUUCCGGGGACACAUGUUCUCGGACUCAAAGGAGUGAUUCGCCGGAGGAGGGGCCCGCGCCCGAUUAGCUUGUUGGUAGGGUAACGGCCACCAAGGCUUUGAUCGGUAGCCGGUCUGAGAGGAUGGCCGGCCACACUGGAACUGAGACACGGUCCAGACUCCUACGGGAGGCAGCAGUGGGGAAUCUUGCGCAAUGGGCGAAAGCCUGACGCAGCGACGCCGCGU